AUUGAACGCUGGCGGCAGGCUUAACACAUGCAAGUCGAGCGGAGAGAGGUAGCUUGCUACUGAUCUUAGCGGCGGACGGGUGAGUAAUGCUUAGGAAUCUGCCUAUUAGUGGGGGACAACAUUUCGAAAGGAAUGCUAAUACCGCAUACGUCCUACGGGAGAAAGCAGGGGAUCUUCGGACCUUGCGCUAAUAGAUGAGCCUAAGUCGGAUUAGCUAGUUGGUGGGGUAAAGGCCUACCAAGGCGACGAUCUGUAGCGGGUCUGAGAGGAUGAUCCGCCACACUGGGACUGGGACACGGCCCAGACUCCUACGGGAGGCAGCAGUGGGGAAUAUUGGACAAUGGGCGCAAGCCUGAUCCAGCCAUGCCGCGUGUGUGAAGAAGGCCUUAUGGUUGUAAAGCACUUUAAGCGAGGAGGAGGCUACUUUAGAUAAUACCUAGAGAUAGUGGACGUUACUCGCAGAAUAAGCACCGGCUAACUCUGUGCCAGCAGCCGCCGCCG
rnacentral:rRNA from 1 species